rnacentral:lncRNA from 1 species
AGAAUGCUCUUCUACGGCUCUGGCUGCACAUGGCAGAAGCUGCCGUCCUGAAAAGAACAGAUUUUGGCAUUGGCUGGGAGUUGAUAUCUCAGGCAACCUCUUUGGCCUUGGAUGUAGCUUUGUUUCCAGGGUUCCUUUCCUUUUUUGGGGGGGGGGCUCUAACUAUGUAGCCCAGGCUGGCCUUGAGCUCUUAGACCACAGGUUACAGACUGCACCACAGCACAUGCCCUUGGGGGUUUCUCUUCAGUCAGCAAGAGCGGUGGAUUUCCUGCUGUCCCAGAGGGGGCCAAGUUGAAGACAAGGGGAAGAACUGUGAGACUGGUGACACAGGGGAGCAGAACCGUUGCUUUGAUCAACAACAGGCCACUCUCACAAGGACAGACCCAUUCGAUAUAUUGUCUGGUGACGCCAUGGCCAUCGGA